CCAAUCCACAGCUGCUUCCGUGAAGCGAGCUGCAGACGACAAGAUCAUGUUGGCGAGGCACGCGUCCUUAGGUGGCUCAAAAGUUUUAUGAUUAAAUUAGACAGAAGCCAGACGCAAAAUGAUUAAGAUAAGGUUACCCCGUGGAAUAUCUAAAUUCCAAGUUGCAGUCGCGAUCAUUCUCGGCGUGGGCUGCACUGUGUACACCUGGUAUCCAAUGGUUCGGCACCAGCGCGCAAAGGCGAUCGCCGAAAAGCAGGAUGCUUCAUCACAGCAUGAAUCGCCGCCUGGCAGCACGUGACUUCGCCAGGACGAAAAGCUGCCCGACCGGACCGUCAUUUCUUUUUCGUAGACGUCGAGUGCCUGAAGCCCAAUAAAACAGGCCUGGCUGGCAACUUCUGUUCA